AUUUUUUGUUUAUAAAAAUAUAAUUGCAAUCACAACAUAAAAACAAGAUUUUCUUAUUUUUUGAAAUCACAUUGCCUUUUUUUUAUACAAUGUUGCACUUAUAUAUAAUAAUCGCAAGUGUAAUUAUAUUUCAAUUUUCUGUCCCAAAUUAUGCCAUGGAAAGUGAAGCAAAUAGAAUCUCAGAAACCCCAAGAGAUGAUGUAAAGAGUGUAUACAUUGGACCACAUACGCCAGGAAACACAUUUGUGUGCCCUCCUGGCAGCUAUAGGGGGUGUCAUCUUGUCUAAUAUGAAAGAUUUUUAGCUUUAUAGCACCAAUGAAUUCCUUUUACAAAUCUUGAGAGAAAAUUUUAAAUAAAUUCUUCUUUUAUUUCCUCUCUUCCAACUCUUUGUUAAAUUAUAGAUAUAUUUGUGAAUUGGGGAAUUAAAUUUAUAUGUACAUAAUUCUUAAAUUGCUAUCAAAUAAAAGUAAAAAUAUAUUAAUAUAGGAUGAAUUAUUUAUUUAAGAAAUAGACAUGUAUCAUUUAUUGUGAGAAAAGAUCUUCCCGUGUAACAUUUGAAACUGACAGAAAAUUGGCAAAAAAGACAUAC